UCCAAGAGGUUUUUGGUGGUUUUUCUUAGGAUAAAAGAUAAUCAGCCUCCAAUGGCUUACAAAAGGUACUUAAACAUAGGUUUAGAAAGUGUAAAAUGUACAUAACGAAAUGACCAAAAAGCCCUUGAUAAAUCAUAAGUUCGACCAAACAGACGACGCGCAGCGACCUCGGGUGGUCGCUCCAACACGUCGCUACGGGCUUCGGGAGUGACCUGGGGUGGUCGCUCUGGCAGGUCACUCCGGAUCCAUCUUUUGUAUCUCAAGACGAAAAAGGGCGAGCGACUUCGUGGCGUCGCUCCGGUAAGGUCGCUCUGAGAGGUAGGGCACAGCGACUUCGUGGCGUCGCUCCGGUCGCUCCCAUGCCCUUCUCGUCCAAUGAUCACCUUUAUCACCUCUUUUGAGCUCCAAAUGCACCCAAAUGUCUCCGAGAAUUCCAUGUGGUACUCCAAUACCUAAUAAAGACUCAUGUAUGCAAAAUGCAACAUAAAUAUAGCUAAAUCCUAGUUUAUAUGACCAAAAUGCACUUAGGUGAAUGGAUAAAAUAAUGAAAAUAUGCAAGAUAUCACAAUCUCUCUCGGAGAGACUCUCAUGCAUCACAAAGUUUCUUCUCUAUCCUCUGUUUUGUACUAACAAAGAAAAAGACAGAUAGCGUCUUAACUGAGGAAAACAUGGGUAACACUUAUAGAUGUUCCCAAUUUAAUUAAUCUCAAAACUUCGAACUCAUACUAUUCAUUCUAAAAUGACGAACACACAUCAUUCAAAAUAGAGUAGAUAGUACUUUUAAAUAUUAAGUUUCUUGGAAGAGUAAUAAGGUUGUCAAGCGACCAAGAAUAUUUCUCAAAACCAUAAGCUAUUGCUCACCUUAUUUUAGGCUGCUCUUAUCAUAUUUAUAAUUUUUCUUUGGGAUCCUUUCUUUAGUCCCUAUCUAGUAUAUCUCGUUUUUGUGAAAGACAGUUCUUCAUAUGAGAUACUCAAUAUAGUUCAUGAGAUUUAAGUUGUUCUACUAAUUUAAUAACUGUUAAUGUAAAUGAUUACCAUCUGAUAACUUUCUAUGUGGUGGAAAGCUGCUGAUGAGAAACUUUUUCAUGUUAUAACCUGAUUCCGUGAGCUUUCAUUGGUUUGUUCUCUGGGUCAUGAUUUCUGGAUUCUGACUUCAUUGUGUCUUAUCCGCAUUAUACACAAAAGUGGUUGAGAAAGAUGGAAGUUGCAUAUAGACAUGAGUUUGGUGCGUACUUUAAAACAAAGGUUAUACAUGUAGUACCUUUGUCCCUUACCCAAUAUAGAAACAUUUCUAGUAUGCUUUCGACAAAGCCAAUGGUAAGUGGGCAGCUUGAUUUAAAGUGGUGCAAAGUAGUUGAGGUAUUUUUUUUUGUGAACCAAAGUAGUUGAGGGUUUCUAGGAACGCAUGAUCCCUUAAGAUUAGUAGAUAUUACUUUUGUCCAAUGAAAACUAUAAUUAAAUAUGAGGAAAUCUGAGCUCAAAUUAUUCCCAUAAGAAAGCGUUUCAAGUGAGCGGGUCAGUCUGCGAUGUAAUAACUUCACGUUCCGAGAGAGAAACACUCGAGGAAAUUGUUCAGCUAUUGAGUAUGGGAGGAAGCUUGGCUUUCAGCUAUUGAGUAUGGGCCUUCAGCUAUUGAGUAUGGGAGGAAGCUUGGCUUGAAUGGUGAUGAUGAUGUUACCAAGAAGGACGACACUUCUUCUACCUCCUUUUAUGUUGAAGAUGAUGCCAACGGUUUCACACCAAGAAGCUUUCCUGUGUGUGAUGGCCGGCACUCGGAGCUUUUAUUCCUUUAGAUUGGAAUCUCAUUUACCAGAUGAGAUUGAAGCUUGAUUUGUCUUUGAUGGAGCAUUAUGAACGCCACUGUCCUCCUCCUGAAAGAAGGUUUAACUGCUUGAUUCCUCCUCCUCCUGGUUAUAAGGUGAGUUUCAUUUCUUCUACUCUGUUGGUCUUGACAAGACGAGGAGGAUCUCAGAAUAUGGAGGGAAAUGAGUGCUCUUGUGGAGCGUAUGUGUUGGACGAUAGCUGCUAAAAGGAACCAAACUGUGAUUUGGCAGAAACCAAUGACAAACGAUUGCAGCGCAGAGGAUUUGUUGUUGGAGAUGGAUCGUAUACUAAGGCCAAGCGGGUUCAUACUCAUAAGGGAUAAACAAUCUGUAGUUGAUCUUGUGAAGAGGUAUCUCAUGGCUUUGCAUUGGGAAGCAGUUGAUUAGCUCACUAUAAAUCUGCCACUCAAAAACUACGUUGCAAAGGAACAAAAUAAAUUAGUCUACCGUCCUAAAAUUCACCGGGUAACAUGCAGCCGUCCAAAUAUCUAUGGUCAAUUCCUAAAAAGGAAUUCUAAAGCACAUGGGAUGAUGAUAAAACUUCAUUCUCUUUGUAUGUUGGUAUAUCCCAAAAGAUUGAGAAUCGUCGAGAGACUAAAGUCAGUCAGUGGCAUCAAUAUAACAAUAUGAUGACAUUUACACACAGAGAACAACAUUCAGUCAAUAUCCUUUAUGACCGAGGUAAAUCCAAGUUUAUGGAUUGGAUGGAGAAUAACAAACUACAUUCUGAAGGUGUAAAUCUAAAGUCUUCAUAUUGCUGUGCCAUUCGUAACUUUGUUUGGGAUCCAAAAGCUAAAACAUGGAAACCGAAUUUUAAGAUUUGAAGAUUACUAUCAGAUGUUUAUGUCUUUGUCGUAAUUUUCUUUUUAUGUUUAAUUUUUC